GCAGCCACUCAUUCAAAGAGUGCGUAAUAGCUCACUGGUCGAGUGAUCCUGCGCCGAAGAUUUCCGGGGCUAAAACUUACUACCGAAGCUACGGCAUCAGUAAUGAUGGGUAGGGGAGCUUCCCAUACGGGUUGAAGCAUGACCGUAAGGACAUGUGGACAGUAUGGGAGUGAGAAUGUUGGCAUGAGUAGCGAGAUGUGGGUGAGAAUCCCACAGGCCGUAAACCCAAGGUUUCCAGGGGAAGGUUCGUCCGCCCUGGGUUAGUCGGGACCUAAGCUGAGGCCGAAAGGCGUAGGUGAUGGACAACAGGUUGAUAUUCCUGUACUACCGAUAACCGUUUGAGAGAAGGGAUGACACAGUAGGAUAAGCUAAGCACACUGUUGGUUAUGUGUGCCCAAGCAUUGAGGCAGUCAAAGUAGGCAAAUCCGCUUUGAUAAUGCUGGGGUGUGAUGGGGAGCGAAAUUUAGUAGCGAAGUAGCUGAUUUCACACUGUCAAGAAAAGUCUCUAUCGAGGUUAAAGGUACCCGUACCGCAAACCGACACAGGUGGGUGAGGAGAGUAUCCUAAGGCCA
rnacentral:rRNA from 1 species